rnacentral:rRNA from 1 species
UACGGGAGGCAGCAGUGGGGAAUAUUGCACAAUGGGCGCAAGCCUGAUGCAGCCAUGCCGCGUGUAUGAAGAAGGCCUUCGGGUUGUAAAGUACUUUCAGUCGUGAGGAAGGUGUUAAGGUUAAUAACCUUAGCAAUUGACGUUAGCGAUAGAAGAAGCACCGGCUAACUCCGUGCCAGCAGCCGCGGUAAUACGGAGGGUGCGAGCGUUAAUCGGAAUUACUGGGCGUAAAGGGCACGCAGGCGGUUAAUUAAGUUGGAUGUGAAAUCCCCGGGCUUAACCUGGGAAUGGCAUUCAAGACUGGUUAGCUAGAGUCUUGUAGAGGGGGUAGAAUUCCAUGUGUAGCGGUGAAAUGCGUAGAGAUGUGGAGGAAUACCGGUGGCGAAGGCGGCCCCUGGACAAAGACUGACGCUCAUGUGCGAAAGCGUGGGGAGCAAAC